rnacentral:lncRNA from 1 species
CUCUCCCUGAAGAUGGCUGCAGAGGCCCAGGGCCGGGCUCCGCGUUGCUGACAAUGUCCCCUGGGCUGCGCCCGGGACUGGAGAAGCGGGUCACCUGCCGCCGCGCCGCCUGGUCUCAGCAGUCCGCGGGGACGCGCGCUACCAAGAGUGGAGAAUCCGAGUGGGGCAGGCCUAGUCCAGGGACUGGGAAGAGAUAGUCGCAUGGACUGGGCGCCAAGAAGCUUGCUGAUCGCGCGCGCCCCACGGCAGCCCUGGGGAUGCAGAGGGGUGGCGUGAGAUGCUCACGGAGCUGCAGCUGGUUCGGAGUGGAUGGGCAGAGUUCCCCUCUGAAAUCUUAUGAAGAUCCUUCUCCCACUCUCCACCGAAGUGCUCAACGGCCAGCACACGCAUACAAUUUUCUUGCAGUAUUUUGUUUUGUUUUUGAGCUCACCAGAAACUCAGAGAGUAAAGAAAUACUGUUAAAGGAAGUUCCUGAACUGGGCAGACAGUACAACCCUGUGUGGUUUUCUCGGUGCAAGGGUUAGAAACAAAACCGAUACCAAGCAAGGAAGGAGGCCAGCCAACGUCACUGGUCAACAGGUUGGCCAAUUCUUUCCUUCAUUUAUCCCUCUGAAUGCCUAGGUGCCAGCCUGAGAUAGGCACUGGAUUACCACAGGGGUAAACAAGAACAGGGCCCCUGCGGUCACAAAGACAGCCUAGUGGGAAAGCUUGUCACUCACCGAGGAAACAUGCUAUUAAAGGGAUAACUAAAAACUGAACGCAGAUCUGUGAGACCCUGACAGCUGCAGGGGUUCAGGAUGUAAUCCGGGAAGGUUUGCCUGAAGAAAUGGCAUCCGAGCUGAGACCUGAAGGAUGACAUUAGGCAAGGAGGAAAACCAUGUGCUAAGUGGUCUCCCACAGAAAGAAACAUGAUGUGUUGGAGGAAUUUAAGGAAAGCUAGUGUGGGUAAAGAGCAGAGAACUGCGUGGGGAUGAUGGGAAGUGGAGCUAAAGGAGGAGGCAAGGGUCGUAUUACUCAGGGUAUUACAGGCCAGAGGCCUUCAAACACUUUUUGAGAAGGCCCAUAAUGAGAAAAGUUUCAUGAAAUAAUUCUUAUGCUUAUGAUUGGCAUUACAAUUUCAUAUUUCUGUUCUACUUCACUGUUUUAAAAAAGUGCUGGUCUUGACCCACUAAAUUGUUUCUAUGAGCCAGUAAUGGUUCAUGACCUGCAGUUUGCAGAAAAAUAUUAUAAAUCAUGUUGAGGAUUUUCAUCUUUUAAAGGUGGUGACUCUAUCCUUUUCGCUCUCAGGGUGAGACUGGUAGAUUGAAGUGGCCCAGAAUAAAUGGGUGGCUCACACCUGUAACCCCAGCACUUUGGGAGGCUGAGGCAGGCGAAUCACCUGAGAUCGGGAGUUCGAGACCAGCCUGCCCAACAUGGUGAAACCUUUCUCUACUAAAAACACAAAAAAUUAGCUGGGUGUAGUGGCAGGCCCCUGUAAUCCCAGCUGCUCGGGUAGCAGAGUCAGGAGAAUAGCUUGAACCCAGGAGGCGGAGGUUGCAGUGAGCUGAGAUCACACCGCGGCACUCCAGCCUGGACAACAGAGCCAGACUCUGUCUCAAAAAAAAAAAGAAAAAAGAAAAAGAAAAACACCCCACAAUUGCCACAAUCCAGAUGAGAGAUGGUAGCUUGGACUAGGAUGGUAGGAUGGUGGCAGCAGAGAUAGGGUCAGGGCAGCUACCCAGGGCCAAGGCCUGUACUCAUCUUACGAUGUCAUCUGUUUCUCCAGUGUGCCACUACAGGGACUGAGGACAGAGCCUGUUGAUGCUUGCCUAAGCUGGCACAGCCAGUGAGUCCUGAGGCAGAUUUGAAACAGGUCUCUGAUUCCCAAGCCUGGCCUUUUCUUUUAACUCACAGCACAUCUGUAAAAUGAGGCCAUAAAGAAGGAAGCUAUUCAAGAGAUUAUACAUUGGAACUUAAGAACAAAUUUCUUACAGGUUUUAAUGCCGAAAAUGUUGACUAUGUUUGGUCCCAGAAAUGAAACCAAAGUUUGUAUCUUAGUUUUUAGAAAAAGGAGGGGACACAUUUAGUGUAAUGUCACAGAAGAGGCUAGACUUGAAGUCCCCUUUGAUCUGGAUGAUGACUGAUCAUCUGGUACUAGUAUCUCAGUCAUCUCAUCCUUGUAGGCUUCAAUCAAGUCCUCCCACAGGGAUGAUGCUGGGAGGAUUAUAGGUUUUAUAGGAUUUUAAAAAUAUUUACAUUAUUUUAUAAGGUUGAGUAUAGGGUUCCCCAGUGUUGACUUAUGAUGUCAAUCAUAAAGAUAUA